ensembl:lncRNA
UUUUAUAUCAAGUGACACACUCAAACUAGGUUUGAUCACUAACAGCAAUGGUGAUUUGGAUGGUGACUUGGGCAAUAUACUUAACCUCGAGUUGCUCCCUUUGCGUUCACUGAAUUUUCAAUUUCAAAUUUAUAUUGCGUCAAAUCACAACAACAGUUGCCUCAAGGUACUUUAUAUUGUAAGAUUGUAGAUUGUAAAAACCCAAUGAUACUACAAAGAAAGCCCCACCAAUCUGAUGAUUAAAACUAACAUACCCAAAUCUUAUUUAGCCUGUCCGCAGUUGCUACUCCUAUACAAGCCACUUUGCAACCCAUUUCUGCUCCACAGUUCGUCCUUUUUGUCCUGUGUCCGAUUUAAUAAAUGUUGAUCUUUUGUAUGCUGGUGUCUUGAUGCUGGUUUCACCACCUCCAGCAUUUCAUUUAAUAGGGGCAGAGGUCUUGGAACAUGUCAGGAAAUGGAAAUCGGUGUUUUCUCUUCACUGAAAUGGUCCUCACUGUCCAGAUAAGUAUAAAUUUAGAAAGUCACUUGGAAAGGACAAGUUGCACUGAGUUUGGUCAGACUGUCCUUGGAAUUGCCUGAAAUCAAAUUUAAAAAAAAAAAAAAAAAUCUGUUGGAUGAACAAUCAGUCAGAUUUUUCUAUUGGAGAUUAUGUAUCUGAAUUUCAGGAGCGGGACCACGCCUCCAAACACGCUCCUUCCAGUUGCCAUCUAUAUAGGUUCCCCCCAGUUCUGCAAACUGUUGAUUCUCGUUUACGUACCCCACCCUUCCUCUGUCCUUGUUCUCAAUUCUUUAACUUCUUCACUUCUAUUUAGUAGAUUUGGAUUUGCCAGGCCCGGGAGCCGUUGCCAGUCCCCUUCGAGGCCUUCCCCAAACCGCAGCUCAAUUCAUGUCCAAGCAUUCACCUUUACCUACUAAAACACUGUCAAUCCUAAAAUGAGGACGUGGGCCCAGCUAGUGAAUUACACUACAAAGGAUAAUAGGACAUUGGUAGUAUUCUUCCCAUUUGCCCUGUAGUCCCUAUUCUUAAUAUCCUGU